GUAUUGGAAUCCAUAAGAUUUCGGUGUUGGUGUUGGAAGGAUGAUCAUAUAGCUGUUGAAGCAGGAAGUGGAAUGGCUCUGUGGGGGAUCUGCACCUGUUUGGGCUUCUUGAAACAAAAGAAGUGUAGAAAACAAAUGUACCUGUUGGGGCUGCUUGAAAUAUGGUAUCUGCUGCAGGCAAGCAAGUGCGCUUUUGACGACCCAGUAAGUAGCCAGACGGAUUUUAGACAUGGUUUCUCCCACAAGGUUGCUGUCUAGCUUCGCUUGUUUAAACGGCAACUGGUUGAGUGUUGCAAUUGAUGCUGCGACCGGAUCAUUAGAGCCUAGAUGAAUUGGUAGCAAUAGUCCUCCAUAUGUUGCAGCAAGGGCUCCAAGUACUAACACAGCUUUUGCAUCCCAUCUGUAUUCUUUCAGAAGAUCGAACAAAACCAUUGUUCUUGUAUGGAUCUCAUUUUCUCCCGUGCAUGGACAAAGCAUCUGCAACCUCAAGAGUUUCAAGAUCUCGGCUCCCAGGCAUUUUUAUAAGAAGAAUAUAUUUUAGAAGGAAGAGAUGAUCUGUUACCUGAACAGAGAUUCUGGAGAUAGCGUAUGGUAGUGUUUCCUUUGAAUCAAAAACUUCAAUGUUGGUCAUACAAUUCUCUGUCGGAAGCGGCUGAGAAACCUGAAAAUUAAGUGGCAUUUGUUAUUGGCAAGCAUCUAGACAAGUAGAACAAGCCCAAGGGGUGGAGAGGAGAGCUCACAUCACUUUCCAGAACAAAGCUCAAGAUGGCUUCUACUUCUUGAAGCAACGCUUUGGAAUCAAUCCAGCGACCGUCUGAAUCAUGUGUACGAAGUAGCUGCUCAACUAUGAUAUCUUCAUUCAGAGAAGAGAUGGAUUUCAUGGUAAUUAAUGGUUGUGUUGAUGUCUCGUCUCUUGGUUUGCGUGAUCAGAUAUAAGUAGGGUCUCUGAAAUUGAAGAUUGUUCAACAAUCUGACAGGAAUCUUGUACAAAUAUAUGAAACAGUAACUUUAUCUUUUCCAUUAUAAAUUCUUCAUUUCUU